rnacentral:lncRNA from 1 species
CUCAGUCUCAUCUGGGGUUUGUGGAGGGCUUCCACAUAGAAGCUUACAGUUCAGCCAAAGAGACAGAUUAUAAGCAGAUAAUUUCAACACAAGGUGUCUUUCCUAAUUAUCAAAGCUGUCUGUGUUCAGAAACAGACUGUAGCUUCUAGGCAGAGUGCUUCGUCCCAGCAUCACUCAUCUGCUGUUUGUUGAACUGAAAUGAACAUCUUGUCCAAUUUUAACUCUCGAGUUUUUGGCAAUUGGCUGAAUUGGAAAGUCGAAGAUGCAUUUAGAGGAGAGGAUAUUGCCGAGCACUGCAGCUGCAAGAAUCUCUUUUUAAAACCUAAAGUCUGUUACAUAAAUUAUGCACUCUUUAAAUUCUCUUCUACGUUCAUUUACACAGUUGAUCAUCAAAACUGCUUUAGAAAUACGUGCAUCAAAUAUUCAGCAUAUUUUUAAAGCUUCCUUAAUACCAUGCCUAGUAAGUGGAUGCAAUUAUGUAUUUAUUUACAACAAACACCUAUGACUAGCACAAAACCUAAUUACAGUCUAUCAUUACCUCUGAAUCAUUCCAAUGGAAAUGUUUUCUCUCACUGUAUUCAUAUUGUUUUGGUGCAUGAGUAUAGAAGGCAGCAGAUUGUUUUCUGUGAUCAUAGAUUUUAAAUAUUUACUUGCUUGUGCUGCAUAAUUCAGCACACUGGAGUUGGAAAGCAGUUUGUAUGGUAGCUGAUGCCAUGUCAGUGUUACGGAAUGUAAUUUCCUUCUGUGACUUCUAUGUGAAGUUG